AAUUGCCGCUCAGUUACCGUAACCACUGUCUCUCUCUUUCUCUUCUCUCGCGUGCUUUUAGUUUUCGAAUUCCUGUGCUGUGCGUUGAUCGGGUUCAUCUCUCUGUUUGACUAUCCUUCGUUUCAGCAUCACACAAAACCCAACUCAGACCCACUUGCCAUCAUGUCCGCCGCCGUCUUUGAGUACCUUGGCAACACGGGAGACCGUGAUAAGGUGAUGGCCAUUGUGCAGUUCCUCCCCAUGACCCUCGCUGGCCCUGCUAACGAUGCCGGCUGCACCUCUCUGAGCAAGUCUCUGAAGAGCCUCUCGUCCAUGGCGGACGGCUACCGUGCCAUCACGCGUCUCGCCCUUCUCUUCAACGCGCUGUCAAAGCCGACGCUGGAGGCACUCUCCAAGCCUAAGGGUGACGUACUACUCGACCGCGUGGACCAGCUGAGCCACUUCUUUCACGUGUGCUUUUGCUUCUUUGAGAACACGGCAGUGCUGUCCAGCCACAACGUAUACCCGAACCGCUUUGUCCGCCUCGGUGGCUGCGCUGUGACCUGCUGGUUCUACACACUGCUGCUCGGUCUGAUGCGCCAGGCGUACGUCAUGACGCAAAAGAAGAACACACCGGAGGAACAGAAGCGGCAGAUGGUCACCACCGUGAAGCUAGGCUGCUUCUUGAUCUUCUCGCUGACCUGCUUCCCGAAGGGUGGCCCACAGCUGCUGGAGGACGUGAGCGGCCCACUGGUGCCGCUGCACAAGACGCUGCAGCUCAUCGCGCCGAAGCAUCUCGGGCUGAACGAUACGAUCCGUGGUGCGCUUGGCUUCAUCGCGUCCAUGUGUGAUUUCUACUGAGGAUGAAAGUACACCCAUCCACAGCACCGCAUCAUCAGAGGCAGCGCAGAAGGAAAGGAAGAGCAACCCUCAAGAAAACAGACGCAAACGCUAGAGAGGCACAACCAAGCACAUUGUAGGAGUAUUGCUAUGAUACCACCGUGCGUGUGCAGACCUCUAGAGCUGUCAUUGUGUAUGCACGGCCAAUGGAAGAGAGGGAAGGGAGAAGAGGGGAGAAGGUGCGCCCUGCUCCUGUACUCCCCAUCUCUGCGAUACCGUGAGCAUCGGCCUUUCUAUCGUUGCUGAUCUCUGCUUUUCUUCUGUUUAUAUAUUUUUUGGUGCGUUUCGUUUCUCGUAGUCGAUGCGUGUGUGUCUAUGCCGCGCGCUUCCUCGCCUCCUCCCUCACCUAUUUCCGGGCCGCUGCGUCCCCGCCCGCCCUCCCUCCCUCCCAUGUGCACCCUCCCUCCGUCAAGAGCCACUCACACUUAGGCAAACGCAAAAGCAGACAGAUGACGCGCGACCACACGCAGAAGAAAGAAAAGGUGCAUGAACAACACCGAAAACGUUUUCUAUUUAUUUUCUAUUUGUUGCUUCCUGUCUCUCUCUCCUCUCUCCCCCUCUCUGACGUGUACAUGUUCUGCACACGUAGGGUAUAUACGUGCAUGUGUCUCCAUUGCGGAUGAUCUCCUCGUGGUAUUUCAUUCUGUAUGUAUGUGAGUCUCUGUGUAUGCAUGUAUGUGCGCUUUUCGAGUUGUUUCGGUUUGACUCUCGGGCUCUAACUCGCCUUCUCCCCCCUUUUUCGCGUUUGUUGUGUUUCUGUGUUCCCCCAUGUGUUGCGUGCGCGUACGGUGCGUCUUCAUGUUUUCAAGGCUUUUCUUUUCUGCGUUUUUUUUUGGGGUCGCUUCCGUAACGGCCCCUUCCUUCCUCCAUCUCCGCCCUUCAGUACGUGCGCGACUGAGGGAAUGGGGGCGUAGGAAGCGGGGAGCGGGGAGCGGCACAGCGACAAGUGCAGGACACACACACACACACAAAGGGAGAGAUACAGGUGAAACGGUUUGCCACAUUUCUCUUCUCUCCUUUUCGUUUCUUUUCCCCCGAUUUGGCUCUUUUUCGCUCUCAACGACCAGCGCCCACACAACACACAUUACAUGGAGAACAAACGUGACGCGAAUGGGGAAGCGUGCCUGCCUCCAUCCACUUGACGGAGACGCCAGUGAGUGCUCGAGAGCGGCUAGCGGACCCAUUAUUCGUUGCCGUGGACAUGCUGCGGUGCGUGUAUGGAUUUGUGCUUGUGUGAGUGUGAGCGUUCUCUGGAGUUGCGUGUGAUGGGGGCUCUCCAAAAGAACCCCCUCCUUCCCUCCCCUUCCCCGAGGAAAAAAACGCAAACACAAAAACGCGCGUGAAAAACGCUCUUUUGCACUUUUCUUUUUUUUUACAUCUUCCCUCUUUCGUUUGCCCGGCGUCGUCUCCUCGUGUCUGUUGAUGGCGGUGUGCGUGCGUGUGGUUUGUUUCAGAUAUUCUUGUGGUUGAGGCAUCAGAGGGGCACAAGCAACGAGAGAGAAAAAGAGGUGUGCGCACGUGCGUAACUGCCGGGGAGUGUGCGUAAGAGUGAGUGUGCGCGUGUCUUGAGGUGCGGAUGCGUACGCAUACGCUGUGGAAUCAUGUUUCAUUCACUGGUAAACCAAACGCACACACACACACACACACACACGUCUUCGGCCUCUCUUGCCGUCCUCUCUCUCCAUUAUAAAAAAGGAACGCCGACCUCGUCGUUGUGUCCUGCAUGGAUGUGGUGUGUGUGUGGGGGGGGGCGCUGUGGGUAUGAGAAGGUAGCUGAGCUGUAUAUAGGCAAUAGCAGUAAUUCCAGAAAAAAUGAAAAGCAGCGCUGCUCUUCAAGGGCCAUCGGACUCAAUGCAUUCAUUCAGCAGCAACAUGAUAACGUGGACACUCAAGAAAAUAAAGCGAGUGAAUGAUUGAAGAAAACCAGCACGACGCGCAGAUGGCGUCGUCGAGGUUAGGUGACGUCGUUUGCAGAGAGGAGCGGCGGCAACAACAGCGGCGCACACUCUGCUCUCGCUUCCUUCCUACCCCCGCCCCCUCCCAAGCUGCGGUAUGUAACCACAUACACAAGGAGCUCUUUCAAGGUGCAUGGCGGUGGUGGUGUUGGUGGAAGAAGCUAAGGGUCUUUUUUUUCUUUUGCGUAUCGUACGAGGGGAGAAAUACGAUCGACUUUGCAGCUGACGCGACAUUCUCACGGCUUGUGCGUGUCUAGUAGUAGUCGUCUUGGCCAAGCAGUCUCUGUUGUCCGUGUGCCCCCUCCGCCCCCUCCGCCCCCUUCGCCUUCCAUCCUUAGUACUCACCUUCAGGACACGUGUGUGUGUGUGUGUGUCGGCUGCUCACCUCAUGCGUUCCAUUGGGCCUUUAGACGAUGUGCUCUUGCCUCUGUUUCCCUUUGUCUCUCGACUUUUUACGUGCUUCAUGUCCGUGUCUCCCCCGAAUCGCUGAU
rnacentral:misc_RNA from 1 species